GAUAAGAAAUAGUGCAAAUGUGGAGAGACUAUUGAGCGCCUUGAGUAUUUCGGAUCAAGUUAGUUCCUCUCGAGUCGAAACAAAGGAGGCUAUCGAAAAAGUUGGGAUGAAGUAAGGACCUUAAAAGGCAUGACUAAACAAAAAGUCAUGGGAAAAAAAUGGAGAUCCUAGUAGAAGCUUCUUCGGAGCAAACAGCCUCCACUAAAGGGAUGACCAAGGACCAUGGACAGACGCAGAAGUUGGCAUGCCAAUUUCCCAUUCAGACCGUAGAUGAUCUGAUUAAGUUUAAUUCGAAUAUAAAUAUCGCUAGCCAAGAGCUCUAUAUCGAUGCAAUAACAAAUUUAAUAUCAAAUGGCGGGAUAUUAAAAAAACUUAAAAAAUAUUUUAGCCAAUGAAGUGGUCUUGGCGUAUAAUGUGAAUGGCGUUCAGGGGAAAGUGGCCCUUAGAAAAGAAGACAAUUUCUUUGGUGUUAUGAUCGAUUCAAUUACUGCAGUCGGCGGUAUUGGCCCAGCUGAGGACCAAUUGAGAAAGGCCCUGCAGCUCCAAAAGAGAUAUUUUAAAAACUCGAACUGCCUAAAAGUAAUGAAAGAACAAGACCCGUUAGAAUAAAGAAAAAUUUAAAUUAAAU